GGAGUCCUAAAGAAAGGAGACUCCACUCUUAAAAAUGGAGAGACUAUCGAAUCCAUGGAAGAGGGUGAAGUGUACAACUAUUUAGGAUUCCAGUAGGCCAGAUUCCCAGAACAGAAGAAAACUAAACAAACACUGUCAAAACUGUACACCAACAGAUUAAAUAACAUUCUCAAAACACAUCUUAAUGGAAAAAACACAGUCGUCAACCCAUUUGCCAUCCAGUACUGACCUAUUCCUUUGGAGUGAUACAGUGAACACAGACAGAAUUAGAAUCACUCCAAAGAACACAAACAACACUUACAAAAUACCAGCUGUGAAGAGGUUAACUCUGACCUAUCCUGUUUAUUAUUUUAUUAUGCUCUCAUUAUUUUAUCAUUAUAUUCAUU
rnacentral:lncRNA from 1 species